GACAGAGGUGCCGAGCGUUAGGCGGAAUCACUGGGCUUAAAGCGUGUGUAGGCGGGCGGGCAAGUACCUUGUGAAAUCCCACGGCUCAACCGUGGAACGGCUGGGUAUACUGCCUGUCUUGAGCCAACUAGGGGCGAGCGGAACAGACGGUGGAGCGGUGAAAUGCGUAGAUAUCGUCCGGAACGCCAAAGGUGAAAACAGCUCGCUGGGGUUGUGCUGACGCUGAGACACGAAAGCCAGGGGAGCGAACGGG
rnacentral:rRNA from 1 species